GGGUGCUUAGCUCAGUCGGGAGAGCGUCGCCCUUACAAGGCGAAGGUCGGGGGUUCGAACCCCUCAGCACCCACCA
rnacentral:tRNA from 1 species